UUCCAGUCGGUCACACUGCCUACAAAAAAGGGAGAUCUGUCAGAUUCAGCACAUGACUUGACUCCUUGAGCUUGAUUUUAGCAGGAGGGAGAGUAAGAUGAAGGAAAUCUCAGGAAAGGGCUCUUGUUACCUGGAGAAUCCUCCUCGAGCUGGAA
rnacentral:lncRNA from 1 species